AUUGAACGCUGGCGGCAUGCCUUACACAUGCAAGUCGAACGGUAACGGGCCUUCGGGUGCCGACGCGUGGCGAACGGGUGAGUAAUACAUCGGAACGUGCCCGAUCGUGGGGGUUAACGUGGCGAAAGCUUUGCUAAUACCGCAUACGAUCUACGGAUGAGAGCAGGGGACCGCAAGGCCUUGCGCGGACGGAGCGGCCGAUGGCGGAUUAGGUAGUUGGUGGGAUAAAAGCUUACCAAGCCGACGAUCUGUAGCUGGUCUGAGAGGAUGAUCAGCCACACUGGGACUGAGACACGGCCCAGACUCCUACGGGAGGCAGCAGUGGGGAAUUUUGGACAAUGGGCGCAAGCCUGAUCCAGCCAUGCCGCGUGCAGGAUGAAGGCCUUCGGGUUGUAAACUGCUUUUGUACGGAACGAAAAGCCUUCUUUUAAUACAGGGGGGUCAUGACGGUACCGGAAGAAUAAGCACCGGCUAACUACGUG
rnacentral:rRNA from 1 species